GAAAGUAGCUCAGUUGGUAGAGCACAACCUUGCCAAGGUUGGGGUCGCGGGUUCGAGUCCCGUCUUUC
rnacentral:tRNA from 1 species